rnacentral:rRNA from 1 species
UACUGGGGCAACCUGGUAGUGACCGGCGAACGGGUGCGUAACACGUGAGCGACCUUGCCUCGUGGUGGGGGAUAGCCGGCCCAACGGCCGGGUAAUACCGCAUAGGGUGCUGACUCCGCAUGGAGACGGCAGCAAAGCCCUGGAGCAAUCCAGUGGCGCCACAGGGGGGGCUCGCGGCCUAUCAGCUAGUUGGGGGGGUAAUGGCCCACCAAGGCGACGACGGGUAGCUGGUCUGAGAGGAUGGCCAGCCACAUUGGGACUGAGAGACGGCCCAGACUCCUACGGGAGGCAGCGGUGGGGAAUCUUGCGCAAUGGCCGAAAGGCUGACGCAGCGACGCCGCGUGGGGGAGGAAGGCCUUCGGGUUGUAAACCCCUGUUGCCCGGGACGAAUGUGCACUUUUGAGUGCAUUGACGGUACCGGGUGAGGAAGCACCGGCUAACUCCGUGCCAGCAGCCGCGGUAAUACGGAGGGUGCAAGCGUUGUCCGGAAUCACUGGGCGUAAAGGGCGCGUAGGCGGCUCAUGAAGGCUGUGGUGAAAGUCCGGGGCUCAACCUCGGAUCGGCCGUGGCGACUCGUGGGCUGGAGCACUGUAGAGGCGGGUGGAAUUCCGGGUGUAGCGGUGGAAUGCGUAGAGAUCCGGAAGAACACCAGUGGCGAAGGCGGCCCGCUGGGCAGUGGCUGACGCUGAGGCGCGACAGCGUGGGGAGCAAACAGGAUUAGAUACCCUGGUAGUCCACGCCGUAAACGAUGGGCACUAGGUGCUUGGGGGAGCGACCCUCUGAGUGCCGGCGCUAACGCAUUAAGUGCCCCGCCUGGGGAGUACGGCCGCAAGGCU